rnacentral:rRNA from 1 species
CAUGCUAGUUGUACGAGUUCAGACUCGUAGCAGAUAGCUCAGUAACACGUGGCCAAACUACCCUAUAGAUCCAGACAACCUCGGGAAACUGAGGCUAAUCUGGAAUAGGGCUCUCAUCCUGGAGUGGAGAGAGCCUGAAACGCUCCGGCGCUAUAGGAUGUGGCUGCGGCCGAUUAGGUAGACGGUGGGGUAACGGCCCACCGUGCCAGUAAUCGGUACGGGUUGUGAGAGCAAGAGCCCGGAGACGGUAUCUGAGACAAGAUACCGGGCCCUACGGGGCGCAGCAGGCGCGAAACCUUUACACUGCACGCCAGUGCGAUAAGGGGACUCCAAGUGCGAGGGCAUAUAGUCCUCGCUUUUUGCGACCGUAAGGUGGUCGCGGAAUAAGUGCUGGGCAAGACCGGUGCCAGCCGCCGCGGUAAUACCGGCAGCACGAGUUGAUGACCGCU